UGUGAAGUAGCUCAGUCGGCAGAGCAACAGCCUUAUAAGCUGUGUGUCACAGGUUCAAAUCCUGUCUUCACAA
rnacentral:tRNA from 1 species